GUCCUCUAAGGGCCCUAGCCAUAUCUUAGCACCAGAAUAUCAUAAACACAUGGAGCCCUUCUCAUGUGUGUUUAUGACAAACAUCCUGGUGCUCAGAGUUUCCACAUCAAACACCACUCCUUAAUAGUAAAUGAAACACAGCAGAAAAAGACAUCAGGUCACACCUCCGCAAACUACUGAAGAGAAAUCAAACUGAAUGAUACACAACAUACCUGCCCACUCAGCCGCUCAUCUAGUCCGACAACAAUCCUGAGUUUCUCCUCCCAUCAGAGAAUAUCACUCUUGAGUCUCUCAGCUCAACAGUCUGUCAGGAUGCAAACAAGAGACAAGAACUAUGAAGCAGAUCUUUCUGGUUUGAGCCCAGAUAUGAAAAAGAAAACAGCUCAGAAUGAGGAUGUGGCUGGAAACUCUGCGAUCUUGUCCUGUUCUUACAGUGACAACAAACUACAAAUUAAGACAUGACAUUGUAUUAAAGACUCAAAGACAACAGGAAUAUAUGAGACAUCAUUCAGAGAAAUGUUUCACUUGAGGAUCAGAAUCCUGAAAACAUAAUUUUCCCAUUGGAGUUUAUGAAAGAAACUCAUAUGGUGCUUCAUCUGUGUGUUUACAGUACUGAUAAAUAUAGUGUCUCUGCAGGUCACAGUAAAGGCUGUUAUUGGUGGUUCAGUUUGUCCUGCCGUGUUCUUCCACUGAACAUGAUCAUAAACUCCAAGACAUUGAUGUUCAUUGGAGAAACAAUAAUGACAAAAUUGUGUAUAGUAUAAUUAAGGGUAAAUAUUCAGUAGAAGGGCAAGACCCACAGUACAAGAACAGAGCUGAAACUUUCCCAUCAGAGUACGAGAGAGGAAACUUCCCCCUCAAACUCAACAAUCUGACAAAUGCUGAUGCAGGACAGUUCAGCUGCUUCAUCACACACUCCUCUCAACAGAAGACUGUACAACUAAUCAUUGAAUCACUAGCAGAAAAAGAAAUCGAAUCCACCAAACAAGAAAACGAAGGAGAAGAUACAGGUGCAGACAGUGUGAAGACAUCAUCACAUGCAAUUUACAAUGAACCAGCUGUAUUAUUGGUGCUGAUAGUACCUAUAGUGUGUUGUAUUUGUAUUUCAUAGAAGCCUACUGUCAUAUAUCUGUUUGUUCUUCCACCAUGUUCUGUUUGUCACUUGUCCUCCUUUGUUUAGUUUUCCCGCCAUUAGUUGUCAUGGUUUCUGAUUUGAUUAGUGUCCUUGUUUCAGGCGUGUCUUGUUUAUUAUCUCAUUAGUUCCCUCAUUAGUUCUUGUAUAAGUAUUCCUUGGUUUUGUUCACUCUUUGUCCUGUCAUUGUUGUAUGUGUCUACCUGCCUUUUUGAAGUAUUAUUAAAAGUUCUAUUUGAAACCUGCUUCUCCUGCCUUCUUCCUCGUAUGGUCACAUACUGUUACAGAAUGAAAGGACCUAAACAAAACAACACCAUCCUGGCUGAGGACCGCCUGUAGGGUUUGAAGCAGAAUGGCCACUCAUUGGAGAGGCUCAAAUUUUGAAGUUGAUGAAGUUAAGUAAGUAUCCUCCUCAUCCAGCCCCAUCGGAAACACACAAGGCCUCAUCAACUACCCUCAAGCUGGUUCCCUCCACAUACUCCUCCAAUGGAUCUGUCCAUUUCUGUUUCCCCAAGUCCUCAGUCCAGCGAUUAAAGAUGGCCACCACUUCAGAGCCUCGACGCAAGAUGGCUGCCACCCCACAGCUUCCUUGCAAGAUGGCCGCUGCCACGCCUGAGCCCUCAGUCAAGAUGGCCGCCGCUGAAAAUGAGCCCUCGGAUAAGAGGGCGGCCGCCGAAAAAGAGCCCUUAGCCAAAAUGUCCGCCAUGCCUAAGUCCUCUCCAGAGCUAAUGGUGGACUUAUGGCUUAUCGACUUCUGGUCAGAGCCAAAGUCCGUCCCUAACCAGACUCCAGUGUCUUCUCCAGCCCUUGAAUCUGCUCCAGUUUCUGCUUCAGCCCCUGACCAGAGUCUAGUGACCGCUCCAGUCCCCGAGUCAGCCAUAUACCCGUAGCCAGAGUGGCCGAGCCUGCUGGUACCACCUUGGAGGCAUUCUUCCCCUCUGGCCCUCCAUCCCAUCCCCUGGACUUCCUCUGCUCCACCACCCUCUUGGACUAAUGUUUAAUGUCUUUUAUUUUGUCUUUUUCAUAAUCAUGGUUCCUGUCAUGUUCCGUCAUUACUAGUUCUCUGGGGCUAAGCCCCUUAUCUUUUCUGACCCUAGCAACCCUCCUGGCCUCUUCCUGCAGAGUCUGGAUUUCUCUUGCCUAUCCCUACAACCCUUCCAAUUCCAAGUGCAGCAUAUCCCUGGGAAGAUGAAUGUUAUGGCAGACUAUCUGUCUCAUGUAACGUACGGUAGUCCUCCAGGAGAAGGAGGAUGUGAUGUGGAGGAGGAAAUCCAGCCUUGGCUGAAUGGCACUGGUUUACCCUGGUUUACUGGUUUACACAUACAUACACGCAGCUCAUUCACAUUUUACCCUCUGUUGCUGCUGUAGUGGUGGGUGCACACCCUAACUUACGGCACAUGGACAUUAAUCACGGCAUCUCAAUUCCAUCCCAUUCUGUAUAUAUAACACACAUUAUUUACACUUACAUACAUACAUUGCACUUACAUUGGACUAUGUUGAAAUGUAAUGUAAGAGGUUUUAAUGUGGAUUGUUUAGUGAUGUUGUCCUGGGUCAGAGGAGGCGGUGGCGAGCCACAGCACUGCCGAAGACAGCCUUUUAUGUUUAAAGCUGCACUCUUCCAGUUUUGUGAGUUACCCUGGAAGGGGACUGUGUGAGGUCAUGUGACUAUUAUAAAAGGAGCUCUUGCUCAAACGUAAUUUGUUUCUUGGUAGGCUGGACAAGUAAGCGAACAACUGUAGUGCUAUGAUCCACAGAGUCAAACUCCUUUUUUGCUGGAGUAUAUGUGGAGGAUACGUGUAUAUAUUCAUAAACAGUAUCUAUAGAUUUUGUAUUAUUAUUUUGGUGUUUUUGAUUCUUUUUGCCUGUGGCAGUGUUUUGUUUAUUUUUGUAAAUAUUGCAUAAUCUGUGGAUUACCAAAAGCCCCACUGUUAAUAAACAUCAUCUUGCACCAAAGUGCUUUUUUUUUUUUAUUUGUAGAAAUACAAUUAAUUUUGUAAUUUACUGUUAACCUUUCUACUUCUCUACUAUACUAAGGAGCCUCUCUUUUGUUUUUGUCUCACUGUUGUGUGGCACCCUCUAUUGGAUAAAGAUCUGAACCAAAUCUUUGAAAUAUUGUAUACAGUGACCCUAAAAAUAUUUGGACACCCAAGCCACACUUUAAAAUGUUAUUAGGCUAUAUGACAAAAUACUAAACCAAAUGACUAUUUAUUUAAAUAAAUAUAGCACAAACACACUGUGUAGGAGCCUAUUUUUGCUUAGAUUCAGCUUUUAAAUAUUUUUGUUUAUAUUGUUUUCAUUUGUAAGCUUAAUUUAUUCAUGUAUACCAUUUAGAUAAAUAUUUUGUAUUUUUACAUAUGUAACAUGUUAAAAUUGUGUACUGGCUCUUUAAGAAUCACGACUGUGAGGUUGGGCGGUAGUGCGCUCUUUGGAAUGCGCAAAGUUCUCUUUACAGCAUCCAUGACAUUUAUGAUUUA